rnacentral:lncRNA from 1 species
AUAUAUGGUACUCGUGAUCAGAGAAUCUUGAUUCUCGAUCACAGAGUCUCAGACAUGUAGGACUCAUAGUCCACAAGCAUUAGGACUCUUCAUCAGCCAUCAGAUCAGAUAGGAACCUCUAAUGUGUGUGACCCCGCAGGUUCGAACCUAAGCCGGUAGCACAGGAACCAAUUCCUGUACUAAUCGAAGUGACCAUCUGGCAAUGAUACCCGAUGUCCGGAUAGGUCGAAUAGUUACAAUCGCAACAUUCAGAACCUAUGUGAAUAUGGUUACUGUAUAAUUCAUCCCUUUUGACCCUUGUGUUUAGGACGACUCAGGGUUAAACUGUCAACCCUAAUUAGAUCAUCCGAAUUGUGCUCAAUUCAAACAGUCCUGUGACUCCUCACUAGGACUACCCUAGCCAAGAUUUUGCUAAAUUGAAACAUGACUGUACACAGCUCCUGAAUUGGAGUGGUCAAUCCCAUCUUGACACAUGCACCGACAAGUCAAGUACUUGACUACACCCAGCAGCCUUCCAUCACUGAAUUAGAAAUUCAGGUAGUCCAGUGCCUAAGUGCAGUGAGUUGCUUGCAAGUCACCAUGGCAGUCUCAG